rnacentral:tRNA from 1 species
UAAAUGAGGGCCGGGUUUGAGGCGACUAGUUGUUAUCUAGUAGGUUAUGAGAUUCAUUCAUUUAG